AGUAGAAUAUAUUGCUGCAGUCAAAAAGGAGCCCAGAGUAAGAAUUUUCCUUGACGGUCGCCGUUCUGUUUGCUGUAACCGAUCUGCAACAUUCUGGGGAAAGACAGUU
ensembl:snoRNA